CGCGUAGGCGGGCCUUUAAGUCAGAUGUGAAAGCCCGGAGCUCAACUCCGGAAUUGCAUUUGAAACUGAAGGUCUAGAGGGUAGGCGGAGAAAAUGGAAUUCCACAAGUAGCGGUGAAAUGCGUAGAUAUGUGGAAGAACACCGGUGGCGAAGGCGAUUUUCUAGCUUAUACCUGACGCUGAGGCGCGAAAGUAAGGGGAUCAAACA
rnacentral:rRNA from 1 species